rnacentral:rRNA from 1 species
UAGGGAAUCUUCCACAAUGGACGCAAGUCUGAUGGAGCAACGCCGCGUGAGUGAAGAAGGUUUUCGGAUCGUAAAGCUCUGUUGUUGGUGAAGAAGGAUAGAGGCAGUAACUGGCCUUUAUUUGACGGUAAUCAACCAGAAAGUCACGGCUAACUACGUGCCAGCAGCCGCGGUAAUACGUAGGUGGCAAGCGUUGUCCGGAUUUAUUGGGCGUAAAGCGAGCGCAGGCGGAAGAAUAAGUCUGAUGUGAAAGCCCUCGGCUUAACCGAGGAACUGCAUCGGAAACUGUUUUUCUUGAGUGCAGAAGAGGAGAGUGGAACUCCAUGUGUAGCGGUGGAAUGCGUAGAUAUAUGGAAGAACACCAGUGGCGAAGGCGACUCUCUGGUCUGCAACUGACGCUGAGGCUCGAAAGCAUGGGUAGCGAACAGGAUUAGAUACCCUGGUAGUCCAUGCCGUAAACGAUGAGUGCUAAGUGUUGGGAGGUUUCCGCCUCUCAGUGCUGCAGCUAACGCAUUAAGCACUCCGCCUGGGGGAGUACGA